GUGUCAGCAGCCGCGGUAAUACGAAGGGUGCAAGCGUUACUCGGAAUUACUGGGCGUAAAGCGUGCGUAGGUGGUUCGUUAAGUCUGAUGUGAAAGCCCUGGGCUCAACCUGGGAAUGGCAUUGGAUACUGGCGACCUAGAGUGCGGUAGAGGGGUGUGGAAUUCCCGGUGUAGCAGUGAAAUGCGUAGAUAUCGGGAGGAACAUCUGUGGCGAAGGCGACACCCUGGACCAGCACUGACACUGAGGCACGAAAGCGUGGGGAGCAAACAGGAUUAGAUACCCUGGUAGUCCACGCCCUAAACGAUGCGAACUGGAUGUUGGGGGCAACUUGGCCCUCAGUAUCGAAGCUAACGCGUUAAGUUCGCCGCCUGGGAAGUACGGUCGCAAGACUGAA
rnacentral:rRNA from 1 species